rnacentral:lncRNA from 1 species
AAAGACAAGCAGCAUAUGGUGGUUCUCAUCUGUAAUUGGUAUGAACACUCUAUCAACUCUUCCAAUAUUUUCUUGGAGUGGCAUAUAGAAAGUAUGAUAUGUCAGCUUGUAUGAAGCACCUAGCAAAAACAUAUGCAAAAGUCAUGUGUUGGUGAUUAGUGAGCAUGUUGAUGAUAUAAAAUUGAUGUAUUAGAUGUGAUCUUAC